rnacentral:lncRNA from 1 species
GGUUUCUCCAACGAGCUGCAGGGGUGCUGCCCCUUCCAUCCCGUGUGUCUCCUGCUGCAGAGCCCGUGUCUGGCAGGAGGAAGGAGUCAGAGAUCACCUCCUGAACCCGCUCCUCCAGCUGUUCCCUCUGGAUUUGCGGAGCGGUUCCCUGACGUGAUGCACAUCGCCUUGUAAACGUGGCCAUAAUUUUCCUUUCUGUAUUCAUCUGGAGAUCGUUGUCAGAGCUGGGACCACAGGUGAGACCUUGUUUCAGCCUGUGGGCAGGGGAGAUUGGGCUUCACGUGUUCCCUUGGGAUGCUGUGACCGGAGACCUGCCAGCCCAGACCUGCCAGCCCAGGUACACGCACACGCCUUCCCUCGCCGGCCGAUCUCCAAACCCGCUCUGGAGGAAUUGGAGCCAUAACAAUAUGGCAGUAAAAAAUAAUGAAAUGCCAUCAUAAAAAAAAGAUGUGGAGCAGCAAUUAUUUAUUUAUACCUAGGGAACUAGGAAUAAUACACCUGUUUCGUAGGGAUGGCUGGCACAAAGCUGGCAUUGCAUAGUGGUACUUAAUAAUUUUUUACCGCACUUUAUAGGCUC